CUCUAUCUGUAAACCAGAUGUGAUUCCCUGCACUCUCCAGGUGAAAGUGCCGACCUCGUGGAGAAAGCAUUAAAACGCAGAUCUUAAUUCCCAGAAAUCCGAAUUACGUCCUUCCUGUUUCUCCCCACUUCCACUGCCACCCUCUCGUUCUGAAAACAUACAGCACUGCAUCGAAUGGAUGUGGGCGCUGAGAUUUCCCCUCUAAGAUCAUCCUACAGCAAACCUGCAAGCUGGGGAGCUCGGCUUCCCUUCCCAAGCACUGGAAAGCCCCUGAAAAUAAUAUAUAUAUAGUUUUCUCCCCAAAUACGUGUUGGUGGCUAUAGAAACUGAGUGCAGGAGUCCAACAAGAACAGAAUCCUGCGCUGCUUUUAUUACGUAUUCAUGCAAACAGCCCUCUGUCCAAGCGUGAGGCCAUCACUUAUCCCUUCUCUUGCAAUGCGACUUCUGGGGACGAAUCCCCUCUAUUUCUUCUUGCUGUUUGCAUCAGCGAAGUGCGAACUCGCCCGUGGCACCCGGAGAAACCGCAGCAAUAACAAUAAACAGCGAUGCAUACAUUCACAAGGAGACGUUCCGUACCGGACUUGAUUUAUUUACUCUGUUUAAAACGGAGUUAAAACUCACGUGGCAGCAAAAAAAAAAACCGAUACGGCUGGAAGAGAUGGGAGCUGUGAUGCUGUCAGUGCACGUGUGUGUUUGUGCGCACAUCCACGAAGCAAAACGCGGCGUUGGUUUCAGCCGUGGCUUCACGUUGUGGGGUAACAACUUCUCACCUGGUUGAAAGAUACCUAUUUGUACGCUGUGAAAUGUGAGAUUUCAUGUCCCAUUGGCGGCGCAUUCGAUCAAAUCGGGGCUGAACGGGUCCGUAGGAAAUUAAAGGACGGAUUUAAAGUUAAAAAUCCUCUUGCGGUGCUUUCUGAGAGAGCUGCGCUGCUCGUUAAUACAUAGAGAUGUAAAUGACAGCGGUCGUGGGUAGAUGGGUCGAAUAAAUCACUAAACCCCAUCAUUUCGGUAACAGAGGAUCGAGAGGAGAGCGCAAACCGUGCGGGGAACUUCUUCCCUCUUUUCUCCGUUCCCAAUCCCUCUGUGCGGAUGAGCCCCGACCGUUCAUAGAGCUGCUCCCUGUUUUCCCCUCCGCCUUUCUUGGGGGGACUGCGGGGCCCCAAGGAGAGAAAGGAAACGUUCCGCGGGUGCGGAGCU
ensembl:lncRNA